CCUGCUCGUGCAGCAACUGCUAUGAGAAGGUUGGAUCAUGGAUCAGUAUAUCAGGGGGCUGUUGUGGUUCUUCAAAGCAGUAGUGCAUCAGCAGCACCAGCUUCUAAUCCCUGGGGAGCAGGGAUUACUAAAGGAGGAGGAGCAGUUGCAGCCAUGAAGCCAUGGAAAAAUGCUGUAGUUCUGGAGCAUGGUUGGAGGGAAGAUUCAUGGGGCAGCAAAGAGUGGUCUCAUGGAUCUGUGGAUGUUCAGGCUUCUGCAUGGAAGGGGAAAGAAGCUCCUAUUAUAGCUUCAAUUAACCGGUGGAGUGCAUUAGAUUCUAAAUCAUCUUCAAAUGCAUCUACCACAUUUGUUCGGACUGAGGAUCCUGCAAAAUAUGGAAUCGAAUCAAAUGCAAGCAUUUCGGAUUCAUAUGGGCUGCUAAGAGGAGCUUCAUCGCAAACAGAGUUGUCUGAAGUGGUGGAUGAUUGGGAGAAAGCUUAUGACUGAGAAUAUAUAAUAAGUUAAUAGCAUUUGGAAUCUGUGGCAUUUGGUCUGGACCUGUUUUGCUCUCUGUUCUUUUUUUUUUUUUCAAAGAGUUACAUCACACCUUUUAAUUCGAGUGUUCUGUUGUUUUUCU
rnacentral:misc_RNA from 1 species